AUUGAACGCUGGCGGAAUGCUUUACACAUGCAAGUCGAACGGCAGCACGGACUUCGGUCUGGUGGCGAGUGGCGAACGGGUGAGUAAUGUAUCGGAACGUGCCCAGUCGUGGGGGAUAACGUAGCGAAAAUUACGCUAAUACCGCAUACGAUCUAUGGAUGAAAGCGGGGGAUCACAAGACCUCGCGCGAUUGGAGCGGCCGAUAUCAGAUUAGGUAGUUGGUGGGGUAAAGGCCCACCAAGCCAACGAUCUGUAGCUGGUCUGAGAGGACGACCAGCCACACUGGAACUGAGACACGGUCCAGACUCCUACGGGAGGCAGCAGUGGGGAAUUUUGGACAAUGGGCGAAAGCCUGAUCCAGCCAUUCCGCGUGCAGGAUGAAGGCCCUCGGGUUGUAAACUGCUUUUGUACAGAACGAAAAGGUUUCUACUAAUACUAGGAGCUCAUGACGGUACUGUAAGAAUAAGCACCGGCUAACUACGUGCCAGCAGCCGCGGUAA
rnacentral:rRNA from 1 species